GGAUGGCGCUGAAGCGUCGAGCCUAUACUCUGCCGUCAGCGGCAAGUGGGGCGGCCGAGCGCGCGCGCGCGAGCUCUCGGGCGAGCGGGCGCGCGCGUAAGCCGCCACGAGGCCCUGACGAGUAGGAGGGUCGCGGCGGUGUGCGCAGAAGGGUCUGGGCGCGAGCCUGCCUGGAGCCGCCGUCGGUGCAGAUCUUGGUGGUAGUAGCAAAUACUCCAGCGAGGCCCUGGAGGACUGACGUGGAGAAGGGUUUCGUGUGAACAGCCGUUGCACACGAGUCAGUCGAUCCUAAGCCCUAGGAGAAAUCCUAUGUCAAUGACGGCGUACCAUACUCUGGUGUAGUACUCUCUCUACCGUAUCUGUUUUUUUU
rnacentral:ncRNA from 1 species